AAAUUAGUUUCUUCACCUCUUAGCAAAGUGACAUAAAGAAAUAAUUUCACCUUUAAUAAAAUUUUGAUAUUCUAAUUUAUUGACAUCAUUAGCAUCUGUAAUUUAUGAAAAUGCUCUGCAAUUUAUGAUAAACAGUAGCUUCCACCAUUCUAAAAUCCUUUUUAUUCACAUUCAUAUUCAAUUUCUUGCAUGGAUCAUGAAAUAUGUGUAUGCAUAUUCAACUUUUUUAAGCUAAAGUUUCAUCUCUAACAUGAUUUCCGUUCUUGAUGGAGUGUACUUAGUUUAUGUUUUCAGAAGAAGAAUUGUACUGCUGAUUCUUUAGCACAUUGAAACUUGUGGCAUUGAAAUUAAGGCUCUUAUGUGAAAUUGCAUUCUGCAGCUCAUUGUGUUCAAUUCUGGCCUGAUCCUCCAAAUGAGAUAUUGAGUUUCCUCACAGAAGAUGCAGUGGUAGUGACUCUGUGUUAACUCAGGUUUCGAGCCUAUUCGUGUGACUAUAAUUGAGUUUCCUCACAGAAGAUGCACUCUAAUUUGGUCUCUUUGGAAAAACAGGAACGAAGCGCUUUGGAAUUCUAAUCAGAUUACAAGCUCUGCUUCCUUCUUCCUGAAUCAGUGAUUAGCUGCCCAAGUUAGUGACCAUCCAUCCCAUUCUGACUACUCUUCGACAGUUUCUGUGGCUGAUUUGUUGAAAUGGCACAAGCCUGCUUCGGGAUUCUUGAAAUGCAAUACAGAUGCUUCCUCCCGUCCGCAUCAUAACAAAAUUGAGCAGGUUGGGUUCUUUGUGAUUGGUGAGGACAGCUGAUUAAGGCUUGCUAAUUGAGCUUCUUGGUCCAUCUGAUCCGAAAAUCACUGAAGCUCUCUCUCUCCAAGAAGCUCUUAGCUUGAUUGAUGGAAGGGGCAUGCAUAUCACCUAAUUUAUUAACUUAUUCAACCUUGAUUGAAUGCUGAUGCUGUUCCUUAUCCUGCACUUAUAGAUGCCCAGUGCAAGAAUUUAUAAGUGAAAUCUGCUGUGACUUUAUUUGAUGAGAUGACUAAGCAGGGAAUCAAGCCUCAUGUUGUCACUUAUAAGGCAACUCAAGAAAAUUACAGUGGCAAGCAGGAAAUUUUGUCCAUCUUAAAUGCUUGCAGUCGCUGAGAUUCCUUUGGAGAUGCUUCGAUUUUAUUGGAGGAGCUUUGAUUAUUUGAUUAUCAGGUGUAUGGCGUGGCAUACAUACUUGUAAGGGCUUUCGCGAUGUAAUUUUAGAGUCUGGUUCUUUGCUGUUGGUACAAGCUCUCCACUCCAAUCAGCAUGAUCUCUCUUAUUUUGAUUCUAUUGUCACUGAUUAUGAAUUUUCUUCUUAAUUAAUUCUGCUCUAUUUCUUCUACUGGUAAAUCAGUGAACACUGUUGUCCAUUGCUUAACACAUACAAUUUAUGGUACAAUUUAGUUUUUAGUCAAAUCUCCGGGAGUGAGGGCUUAAA